GGCAAUUCCGACCUCGUUUCUUCCUCUCCUCCGCAUACUUGGUUAUUCUGACGCCCACACCGGCCCGGGCUUUCUCUAAUCGUAAACUAUGUUCCUGGAACGUGAACUUUAUUCUGUUUGCCUUUCAAGAUACAGAACUAUUUGGCUCUGUUUAUUUUUGUUCCAAGUGGGCAGGACCCUCUUGCCUGUUGUGACUAAUCCACUUGUCAGGGCUGGAAUCUCCUAACAGUUCCUCCAGGGAGGGGUGCCAAAGAAGUGACUGGGAUGGAGGCUGACUGGAAGACAGUGGAGUGGACAGAAUGACAGAAACUCACGGGAAACGACUCUGGUUGGAUGGCAGUCCCGUUUAUAUCUACCGAGACUCAGUUGUUUUCAACUAUUGCUCAGGCAUUCCUGGUUGCUCACCUUUUUCUAGGAAACUACUGGGGCUGAACCCCAU
rnacentral:lncRNA from 1 species